UGGACUCACGCUGAGUUAUUC
rnacentral:piRNA from 1 species